CACCUACCUCUAGAUCCAAGAGUGGCUGGAGAGAAGGCAGUCUACUCAAAACAAAGAAGCUUCAACUGGUCCCUAAAACUCCAGUUCUCAUUUUCCAAUGAGUGGACCAUGGAUACUAAUGACUGGAGGACUCAAUUCAAUGCACAGACUGAAAGAUGGCAGGAAGCAAACCUUUCUUGCAACU